rnacentral:rRNA from 1 species
ACCUACGGGAGGCAGCAGUGGGGAAUCUUCGGCAAUGGACGAAAGUCUGACCGAGCAACGCCGCGUGAGUGAAGAAGGUUUUCGGAUCGUAAAACUCUGUUGUUAGAGAAGAAUAAGGAUGAGAGUAAAAAGUUCAUCCCUUGACGGUAUCUAACCAGAAAGCCACGGCUAACUACGUGCCAGCAGCCGCGGUAAUACGUAGGUGGCAAGCGUUGUCCGGAUUUAUUGGGCGUAAAGCGAGCGCAGGCGGUUUCUUAAGUCUGAUGUGAAAGCCCCCGGCUUAACCGGGGAGGGUCAUUGGAAACUGAGGAACUUGAGUGCAGAAGAGGAGAGUGGAAUUCCAUGUGUAGCGGUGAAAUGCGUAGAUAUAUGGAGGAACACCAGUGGCGAAGGCGACUCUCUGGUCUGUAACUGACGCUGAGGCUCGAAAGCGUGGGGAGCAAACAGGAUUAGAUACCCUGGU